rnacentral:lncRNA from 1 species
AGCAGAAUGUUGGCUGUGGCCCAUGUCACAGAUGACACAGCCACCCAGGAUGGAGGCGAGGAGCAGGCGAGCAAGGGCUGAGAGCUGAAGGCUCACGCAGGGACACAACCAGACCAUGGCGCACUCCUGUCCUCAGCCACUCAGCUGAAGGGAUUUGCUGCUUUCUACAAGGACACCGACAUCAAGAUAAAGCAUCAAAAUGUUAUCUCUGGGCACCAACCCCAGUGAUGCAGUGCCCAUGUCACAGCGGGCAGCAGGCUGGUGGUGGCCAAUGUGCUACCUGUGCUUGUCGGCAUUACCCGGCUUUGUGCAGCCGCAGGCCCAGGCCAGGACACAGCUGGGCCAUGGCACGCUCCUGGCCCCCCUUCCUCAGCCCUCUCAAUCAGAGGUUUCUGCAGCUUUCUGUGGUGUCCUGGACCUAAGGGCGAGGAACACACACAGCCGCAGACUGCACCGCACCAUGGGCUCACAGGGAAGGGCAUGCCGACUUGUGAGAUGAUACAUGCUCCAGUUCAUAGUAAGUUUGAGAUAACAAGAACUCUGGACCUAAGUAGUUUGGAAUCAAGAUUUAUGUCACUAGGAUGACUGCAAAAAGCUGCCAGAAGCAUCAGGGAGACCUUGCCAUAUUAAGCAAAGAGCAUCCCAAAGCAAACAGGUCCUAUGACCAGCACACCCCUUUGCAGCUAGCCAACUCCUUUGGACUCUGACAUCAGUGAAAGACACUUGCCUCAUUUCUUUUUGUUAAACAUCAUUAAAAUAACCUACUCUUACUUUAUUACUAUUUAAUUUUAAUGAUUUAUUAUUUACAAUUUCCUCAACUCUGUAUAUGAUUGCUCAAAAU